UACAGAGGUCCCAAGCGUUGUUCGGAAUCACUGGGCGUAAAGGGUGCGUAGGCGGGUCUUUUAAGUCAGGGGUGAAAUCCUGGAGCUCAACUCCAGAACUGCCUUUGAUACUGAGGAUCUUGAGUUCGGGAGAGGUGAGUGGAACUGCGAGUGUAGAGGUGAAAUUCGUAGAUAUUCGCAAGAACACCAGUGGCGAAGGCGGCUCACUGGCCCGAUACUGACGCUGAGGCACGAAAGCGUGGGGAGCAAACAGG
rnacentral:rRNA from 1 species